UACGUAGGGGGCUAGCGUUGCUCGGAAUCACUGGGCGUAAAGCGCACGUAGGCGGCUUUUUAAGUCAGGGGUGAAAUCCUGGAGCUCAACUCCAGAACUGCCUUUGAUACUGGGAAGCUUGAGUCCGGGAGAGGUGAGUGGAACUCCGAGUGUAGAGGUGAAAUUCGUAGAUAUUCGGAAGAACACCAGUGGCGAAGGCAGCCUCCUGGGCCAGCACUGACGCUCAUGCACGAAAACGUGGGGAGCAAACAGG
rnacentral:rRNA from 1 species